rnacentral:rRNA from 1 species
GGGUUGUGAGGUUAAGCGACUAAGCGUACACGGUGGAUGCCCUGGCAGUCAGAGGCGAUGAAGGACGUGCUAAUCUGCGAUAAGCGUCGGUGAGGUGAUAUGAACCGUUAUAACCGGCGAUUUCCGAAUGGGGAAACCCAGUGUGUUUCGACACACUAUCAUUAACUGAAUCCAUAGGUUAAUGAGGCGAACCGGGGGAACUGAAACAUCUAAGUACCCCGAGGAAAAGAAAUCAACCGAGAUUCCCCCAGUAGCGGCGAGCGAACGGGGAGGAGCCCAGAGCCUGAAUCAGUGUAUGUGUUAGUGGAAGCGUCUGGAAAGGCGUGCGAUACAGGGUGACAGCCCCGUACACAAAAAUGCACAUAUUGUGAGCUCGAUGAGUAGGGCGGGACACGUGGUAUCCUGUCUGAAUAUGGGGGACCAUCCUCCAAGGCUAAAUACUCCUGACUGACCGAUAGUGAACCAGUACCGUGAGGGAAAGGCGAAAAGAACCCCGGCGAGGGGAGUGAAAAAGAACCUGAAACCGUGUACGUACAAGCAGUGGGAGCCUCUUAAUGGGGUGACUGCGUACCUUUUGUAUAAUGGGUCAGCGACUUAUAUUCUGUAGCAAGGUUAACCGAAUAGGGGAGCCGAAGGGAAACCGAGUCUUAACUGGGCGUUAAGUUGCAGGGUAUAGACCCGAAACCCGGUGAUCUAGCCAUGGGCAGGUUGAAGGUUGGGUAACACUAACUGGAGGACCGAACCGACUAAUGUUGAAAAAUUAGCGGAUGACUUGUGGCUGGGGGUGAAAGGCCAAUCAAACCGGGAGAUAGCUGGUUCUCCCCGAAAGCUAUUUAGGUAGCGCCUCGUGAAUUCAUCUCCGGGGGUAGAGCACUGUUUCGGCAAGGGGGUCAUCCCGACUUACCAACCCGAUGCAAACUGCGAAUACCGGAGAAUGUUAUCACGGGAGACACACGGCGGGUGCUAACGUCCGUCGUGAAGAGGGAAACAACCCAGACCGCCAGCUAAGGUCCCAAAGUCAUGGUUAAGUGGGAAACGAUGUGGGAAGGCCCAGACAGCCAGGAUGUUGGCUUAGAAGCAGCCAUCAUUUAAAGAAAGCGUAAUAGCUCACUGGUCGAGUCGGCCUGCGCGGAAGAUGUAACGGGGCUAAACCAUGCACCGAAGCUGCGGCAGCGACACUAUGUGUUGUUGGGUAGGGGAGCGUUCUGUAAGCCUGUGAAGGUGUGCUGUGAGGCAUGCUGGAGGUAUCAGAAGUGCGAAUGCUGACAUAAGUAACGAUAAAGCGGGUGAAAAGCCCGCUCGCCGGAAGACCAAGGGUUCCUGUCCAACGUUAAUCGGGGCAGGGUGAGUCGACCCCUAAGGCGAGGCCGAAAGGCGUAGUCGAUGGGAAACAGGUUAAUAUUCCUGUACUUGGUGUUACUGCGAAGGGGGGACGGAGAAGGCUAUGUUGGCCGGGCGACGGUUGUCCCGGUUUAAGCGUGUAGGCUGGUUUUCCAGGCAAAUCCGGAAAACCAAGGCUGAGGCGUGAUGACGAGGCACUACGGUGCUGAAGCGACAAAUGCCCUGCUUCCAGGAAAAGCCUCUAAGCAUCAGGUAACAUCAAAUCGUACCCCAAACCGACACAGGUGGUCAGGUAGAGAAUACCAAGGCGCUUGAGAGAACUCGGGUGAAGGAACUAGGCAAAAUGGUGCCGUAACUUCGGGAGAAGGCACGCUGAUAUGUAGGUGAAGCGACUUGCUCGUGGAGCUGAAAUCAGUCGAAGAUACCAGCUGGCUGCAACUGUUUAUUAAAAACACAGCACUGUGCAAACACGAAAGUGGACGUAUACGGUGUGACGCCUGCCCGGUGCCGGAAGGUUAAUUGAUGGGGUUAGCGGUAACGCGAAGCUCUUGAUCGAAGCCCCGGUAAACGGCGGCCGUAACUAUAACGGUCCUAAGGUAGCGAAAUUCCUUGUCGGGUAAGUUCCGACCUGCACGAAUGGCGUAAUGAUGGCCAGGCUGUCUCCACCCGAGACUCAGUGAAAUUGAACUCGCUGUGAAGAUGCAGUGUACCCGCGGCAAGACGGAAAGACCCCGUGAACCUUUACUAUAGCUUGACACUGAACAUUGAGCCUUGAUGUGUAGGAUAGGUGGGAGGCUUUGAAGUGUGGACGCCAGUCUGCAUGGAGCCGGCCUUGAAAUACCACCCUUUAAUGUUUGAUGUUCUAACGUUGGCCCGUAAUCCGGGUUGCGGACAGUGUCUGGUGGGUAGUUUGACUGGGGCGGUCUCCUCCUAAAGAGUAACGGAGGAGCACGAAGGUUGGCUAAUCCUGGUCGGACAUCAGGAGGUUAGUGCAAUGGCAUAAGCCAGCUUGACUGCGAGCGUGACGGCGCGAGCAGGUGCGAAAGCAGGUCAUAGUGAUCCGGUGGUUCUGAAUGGAAGGGCCAUCGCUCAACGGAUAAAAGGUACUCCGGGGAUAACAGGCUGAUACCGCCCAAGAGUUCAUAUCGACGGCGGUGUUUGGCACCUCGAUGUCGGCUCAUCACAUCCUGGGGCUGAAGUAGGUCCCAAGGGUAUGGCUGUUCGCCAUUUAAAGUGGUACGCGAGCUGGGUUUAGAACGUCGUGAGACAGUUCGGUCCCUAUCUGCCGUGGGCGCUGGAGAACUGAGGGGGGCUGCUCCUAGUACGAGAGGACCGGAGUGGACGCAUCACUGGUGUUCGGGUUGUCAUGCCAAUGGCACUGCCCGGUAGCUAAAUGCGGAAGAGAUAAGUGCUGAAAGCAUCUAAGCACGAAACUUGCCCCGAGAUGAGUUCUCCCUGAGACUUAGAGUCUCCUGAAGGAACGUUGAAGACGACGACGUUGAUAGGCCGGGUGUGUAAGCGCAGCGAUGCGUUGAGCUAACCGGUACUAAUGAACCGUGAGGCUUAACCUUACAACGCCGAAG